rnacentral:rRNA from 1 species
UACAGAGGUCUCAAGCGUUGUUCGGAUUCAUUGGGCGUAAAGGGUGCGUAGGCGGCGCGGUAAGUCGGGUGUGAAAUCUCGGAGCUUAACUCCGAAACUGCAUUCGAUACUGCAGUGCUUGAGGACUGGAGAGGAGACUGGAAUUUACGGUGUAGCGGUGAAAUGCGUAGAUAUCGUAAGGAAGACCAGUGGCGAAGGCGGGUCUCUGGACAGUUCCUGACGCUGAUGCACGAAGGUCAGGGGAGCAAACGGG